GUUAUAUGGUCAAGUGAAGAAGCGCAUACGGUGGAUGCCUUGGCAGUCAGAGGCGAUGAAAGACGUGGUAGCCUGCGAAAAGCUUCGGGGAGUCGGCAAACAGACUUUGAUCCGGAGAUCUCUGAAUGGGGGAACCCACCUAGGAUAACCUAGGUAUCUUGUACUGAAUCCAUAGGUGCAAGAGGCGAACCAGGGGAACUGAAACAUCUAAGUACCCUGAGGAAAAGAAAUCAACCGAGAUUCCCUUAGUAGUGGCGAGCGAACGGGGAUUAGCCCUUAAGCUUCAUUGAUUUUAGCGGAACGCUCUGGAAAGUGCGGCCAUAGUGGGUGAUAGCCCCGUACGCGAAAGGAUCUUUGAAGUGAAAUCGAGUAGGACGGAGCACGAGAAACUUUGUCUGAACAUGGGGGGACCAUCCUCCAAGGCUAAAUACUACUGACUGACCGAUAGUGAACCAGUACCGUGAGGGAAAGGCGAAAAGAACCCCGGAGAGGGGAGUGAAAUAGAACCUGAAACCGUAUGCGUACAAGCAGUGGGAGCCUACUUGUUAGGUGACUGCGUACCUUUUGUAUAAUGGGUCAGCGACUUAUAUUCAGUGGCAAGCUUAACCGUAUAGGGUAGGCGUAGCGAAAGCGAGUCUUAAUAGGGCGUUUAGUCGCUGGGUAUAGACCCGAAACCGGGCGAUCUAUCCAUGAGCAGGUUGAAGGUUAGGUAACACUGACUGGAGGACCGAACCCACUCCCGUUGAAAAGGUAGGGGAUGACUUGUGGAUCGGAGUGAAAGGCUAAUCAAGCUCGGAGAUAGCUGGUUCUCCUCGAAAGCUAUUUAGGUAGCGCCUCAUGUAUCACUCUGGGGGGUAGAGCACUGUUUCGGCUAGGGGGUCAUCCCGACUUACCAAACCGAUGCAAACUCCGAAUACCCAGAAGUGCCGAGCAUGGGAGACACACGGCGGGUGCUAACGUCCGUCGUGAAAAGGGAAACAACCCAGACCGCCAGCUAAGGUCCCAAAGUUGUGGUUAAGUGGUAAACGAUGUGGGAAGGCUUAGACAGCUAGGAGGUUGGCUUAGAAGCAGCCAUCCUUUAAAGAAAGCGUAAUAGCUCACUAGUCGAGUCGGCCUGCGCGGAAGAUGUAACGGGGCUCAAACCACACACCGAAGCUGCGGGUGUCACGUAAGUGACGCGGUAGAGGAGCGUUCUGUAAGCCUGUGAAGGUGAGUUGAGAAGCUUGCUGGAGGUAUCAGAAGUGCGAAUGCUGACAUGAGUAACGACAAUGGGUGUGAAAAACACCCACGCCGAAAGACCAAGGGUUCCUGCGCAACGUUAAUCGACGCAGGGUUAGUCGGUUCCUAAGGCGAGGCUGAAAAGCGUAGUCGAUGGGAAACAGGUUAAUAUUCCUGUACUUCUGGUUACUGCGAUGGAGGGACGGAGAAGGCUAGGCCAGCUUGGCGUUGGUUGUCCAAGUUUAAGGUGGUAGGCUGAAAUCUUAGGUAAAUCCGGGGUUUCAAGGCCGAGAGCUGAUGACGAGUCGUCUUUUAGAUGACGAAGUGGUUGAUGCCAUGCUUCCAAGAAAAGCUUCUAAGCUUCAGGUAACCAGGAACCGUACCCCAAACCGACACAGGUGGUCGGGUAGAGAAUACCAAGGCGCUUGAGAGAACUCGGGUGAAGGAACUAGGCAAAAUGGCACCGUAACUUCGGGAGAAGGUGCGCCGGCUAGGGUGAAGGAUUUACUCCGUAAGCUCUGGCUGGUCGAAGAUACCAGGCCGCUGCGACUGUUUAUUAAAAACACAGCACUCUGCAAACACGAAAGUGGACGUAUAGGGUGUGACGCCUGCCCGGUGCCGGAAGGUUAAUUGAUGGGGUUAGCGCAAGCGAAGCUCUUGAUCGAAGCCCCGGUAAACGGCGGCCGUAACUAUAACGGUCCUAAGGUAGCGAAAUUCCUUGUCGGGUAAGUUCCGACCUGCACGAAUGGCGUAACGAUGGCGGCGCUGUCUCCACCCGAGACUCAGUGAAAUUGAAAUCGCUGUGAAGAUGCAGUGUAUCCGCGGCUAGACGGAAAGACCCCGUGAACCUUUACUGUAGCUUUGCACUGGACUUUGAGCCUGCUUGUGUAGGAUAGGUGGGAGGCUUUGAAGCGUGGACGCCAGUUCGCGUGGAGCCAUCCUUGAAAUACCACCCUGGCAUGCUUGAGGUUCUAACUCUGGUCCGUGAUCCGGAUCGAGGACAGUGUAUGGUGGGCAGUUUGACUGGGGCGGUCUCCUCCUAAAGAGUAACGGAGGAGUACGAAGGUGCGCUCAGACCGGUCGGAAAUCGGUCGCAGAGUAUAAAGGCAAAAGCGCGCUUGACUGCGAGACAGACACGUCGAGCAGGUACGAAAGUAGGUCUUAGUGAUCCGGUGGUUCUGUAUGGAAGGCCAUCGCUCAACGGAUAAAAGGUACUCCGGGGAUAACAGGCUGAUACCGCCCAAGAGUUCAUAUCGACGGCGGUGUUUGGCACCUCGAUGUCGGCUCAUCACAUCCUGGGGCUGAAGCCGGUCCCAAGGGUAUGGCUGUUCGCCAUUUAAAGUGGUACGCGAGCUGGGUUUAGAACGUCGUGAGACAGUUCGGUCCCUAUCUGCCGUGGACGUUUGAGAUUUGAGAGGGGCUGCUCCUAGUACGAGAGGACCGGAGUGGACGAACCUCUGGUGUUCCGGUUGUCACGCCAGUGGCAUUGCCGGGUAGCUAUGUUCGGAAAAGAUAACCGCUGAAAGCAUCUAAGCGGGAAACUUGCCUCAAGAUGAGAUCUCACUGGGAACUUGAUUCCCCUGAAGGGCCGUCGAAGACUACGACGUUGAUAGGCUGGGUGUGUAAGCGUUGUGAGGCGUUGAGCUAACCAGUACUAAUUGCCCGUGAGGCUUGACCAUAUAACACCCAAACA
rnacentral:rRNA from 1 species